GGUGCGGUGGCCUAAUGGUUAGCGUGCUGGACUCCGAAUCGAGCGGUCCGGGAUCGAGCCCUGUUGGGGUCA
rnacentral:tRNA from 1 species